rnacentral:rRNA from 1 species
GAUGAACGCUAGCUACAGGCUUAACACAUGCAAGUCGAGGGGCAGCAGGACGAUAGCUUGCUAUUGUUGCCGGCGACCGGCGCACGGGUGCGUAACAGGUGUGCAAUCUGUCCAUAGUCGGGGGAUAGCCCAGCGAAAGCUGAAUUAACACUCCAUGUGUCACGAAGCCGCAUGACUUUGUGAUGAAACGUAAGGACUAUGGGUGAGCACGCUUCUGAUUAGGUAGUUGGUGGGGUAACGGCCCACCAAGCCGACGAUCAGUAGGGGUUCUGAGAGGAAGGUCCCCCACAUUGGAACUGAGACACGGUCCAAACUCC